AUUUAGAAGUGUAACAUAUUCCCUUCAAGGAAUCAAGUCAACUUCUACAAUGAUGAAUCUGUUGUAAAUGUAAAAUGUAAGCCUUGGGAAAAAAAAGAAAUUACACCCUUUCAAUUGCUUUUUUUCAAACAAUAUUGUUGAGCAUUAUUUAACACCAUAGAUAAAGAAUUACGCGUUUAGUUUUUUUCAACGAAACCUAAAAUUUGGACAUACUGAUUGAUCAUCAAUAUGUUACACUGCCCUGAG